rnacentral:rRNA from 1 species
UACGUAGGUGGCAAGCGUUGUCCGGAUUUAUUGGGCGUAAAGCGCACGUAGGCGGUUCGUUAUGUCGGAUGUGAAAGCCCUUGGCUUAACCGAGGAAGUGCAUCCGAAACUGGCGAGCUAGAGUACGAAAGAGGAUCGCGGAAUUCCCGGUGUAGAGGUGAAAUUCGUAGAUAUCGGGAGGAACACCGGUGGCGAAGGCGGCGAUCUGGGUCGUAACUGACGCUCAUGCACGACAGCGUGGGGAUCAAACAGG